UACGAAGGGUGCAAGCGUUACUCGGAAUUACUGGGCGUAAAGAGCUCGUAGGUGGUUUGUCGCGUUGUUCGUGAAAACUCACAGCUUAACUGUGGGCGUGCGGGCGAUACGGGCAGACUUGAGUACUGCAGGGGAGACUGGAAUUCCUGGUGUAGCGGUGGAAUGCGCAGAUAUCAGGAGGAACACCGGUGGCGAAGGCGGGUCUCUGGGCAGUAACUGACGCUGAGGAGCGAAAGCGUGGGGAGCGAACAGG
rnacentral:rRNA from 1 species